rnacentral:tRNA from 1 species
UCCCGGUUAGCUCAGAAGGUUAGAGCCGUGCCAUUCGUUCGGCACAAGGGUCGCAGGUUCGAGCCCUGCACCGGGAU